rnacentral:rRNA from 1 species
AGCGAACGCUGGCGGCAGGCCUAACACAUGCAAGUCGAACGCCCCUUCGGGGGCGUGGCGGCCGGGUGGGUAACGCGUGGGAAUGUGCCCUUGGGUACGGCACAACUGAGGGAGACUUCAGCUAAUACCGUAUGUGCCCUACGGGGGAAAGAUUUAUCGGCAUUGGAGCAGCCCGCGUUGGAUUAGGUAGUUGGUGGGGUAAUGGCCCACCAAGGCGACGAUCCAUAGCUGGUCUGAGAGGAUGAUCAGCCACACUGGGACUGAGACACGGCCCAGACUCCUACGGGAGGCAGCAGUGGGGAAUCUUGCGCAAUGGGGGAAAGCCUGACGCAGCCAUGCCGCGUGAAUGAUGAAGGUCUUAGGAUUGUAAAAUUCUUUCACCGGGGAAGAUAAUGACGGUACCCGGCGAAGAAGCCCCGGCUAACUUCGUG